GGUGAAAUCUAUCAGGACACAAACCUUCAGCAGAUUGUAGAAGGGCUGGACGAAACCCUAGUUCUUCAUUUGGAGUAGGUUCGUGACGGAAUCUACAUUGGUGCUUAACUUGUGAAGUCUUCUCUUGAAAACGAAUUUGCAGCUGAGAGUGGAGGAUAAGUCAGUCCUUCAUAUUGUGCUUAUCAAGUUUUGUUUCAUAUUUAUGGUAGAUGGGUUCAUGGAAUUAUCAGAUUUUCAGAUUAAGGGCACAUAGUAUAUCAAUUUUGAUUGGAGCCGUGAGGCGAUUUUAUUGGAGAACAUUUUGAAGAGGAUUUGUGAAUUUUCUGUUGUAAGUUGCAGGUCUGAAGACAAAUUCGUAUUUUACAUCCUUACCCACGAUUUGGUUCAUAGUCCAUUGUUGGUGCAUCGAUUCUUACCUUGGAGGACAGCAAUUACAUCUUGAAGAUAAGGCAAUUAUUUUGGACAUUUUGGGUAUGAGUUUGGCGAAGGUUGAAGACACUUUUUGGUGAUCAGAUCAGUCCGAACCUGAGUACUUGGAGACCUUCGAUGUUUCGCAUAACCUCAAAGUUUGGUGUAGAUUUCAAUUACUGAGUACAGCGCCUACCUUCAGCAAUUAGUUCGAUCAGUUUGGGGUGGCAGUUGGACACUUGUAUGCAGAUCAUAUAAGAUACUUAGACCAUCUACUAGCAGCAGCCGGGACGGCACCUAUCUUGGUCCAAUUUAGCUCAUUUGAGCCUCAACAUCAUGGAUAUUGCUUAAUACUUCAAUACCUCAAGGAGGCGAUUCAUAUCAGGCUCAACCCACCCUUACUCGAGCACUUGAAGAUGGCAAUGUUGAUGAACUUGUUGAUCGCCAAUUGCAGAACUAAAAUUCAAAUAAGAUGAUGCCACUGGUUGCAUGUGCAGCCUAUUCUGUUCAAUAUUUUGCAAGAAGACACCCUCGUAUGGCACAGGGAUGUUGUCUACUUCUAGUGAGAUAUAUUUGUCAAGCUUUGAAUUAUAUUGUGUGUACAACAUGCUUCUAUUUGAAUACUAUUGUUUUGAGUGCCUAGACUGAAAGUAGCCAUGUUCUCCAGAUAGCUCGAGCCUUGGAAGGUGAUGUUUCUCUUGAUGAUCUAAAUGAGGGAGUGAAGCUAGGGCAUAGUACUGUGUGUGGAUCAUAUAGAAACACGAACUAUGAUUCCAGCCAAUAUCUUUUUAAAGCUUUUCAUUAGUUUGGCUUAUUCUGUAAAAUUUUAAGCAGAGCAUUGCAAUUGAAUGUUUAAAAUUUCCUAGACCACAAGCAUGAAUGUUUGAUAGUCUCAGAAAAUUGUGACAAAAAAUUAUAUCAAACCUCUUUUUUGGCAUUGUGUUUGGUUAAAUUCAGCUUGUAUAUUUUCCUUUUUGAAUA